rnacentral:rRNA from 1 species
GAUGAACGCUGGCGGCGUGCCUAAUACAUGCAAGUCGAGCGAAUGGAUUAAGAGCUUGCUCUUAUGAAGUUAGCGGCGGACGGGUGAGUAACACGUGGGUAACCUGCCCAUAAGACUGGGAUAACUCCGGGAAACCGGGGCUAAUACCGGAUAACAUUUUGAACCGCAUGGUUCGAAAUUGAAAGGCGGCUUCGGCUGUCACUUAUGGAUGGACCCGCGUCGCAUUAGCUAGUUGGUGAGGUAACGGCUCACCAAGGCAACGAUGCGUAGCCGACCGGAGAGGGUGAUCGGCCACACUGGGGCUGAGACACGGCCCAGACUCCUACGGGAGGCAGCAGUAGGGAAUCGUCCGCAAUGGACGAAAGUCUGACGGAGCAACGCCGCGUGAGUGAUGAAGGCUUUCGGGUCGUAAAACUCUGUUGUUAGGGAAGAACAAGUGCUAGUUGAAUAAGCUGGCACCUUGACGGUACCUAACCAGAAAGCCACGGCUAACUACGUGCCAGCAGCCGCGGUAA